rnacentral:lncRNA from 1 species
GUCCAGUUGUUCAAAAGUGUCCUUAAAUUUAACGAUGAUUAAGCCUAACAAGUCGUUAAAUCUUAAAGCAGUUGCUAACUAAUCAAUGCGUUAAAUAUUGUUGUUCAAAAAAUGUUAACGACAAUGUUAGUUAACGCAGUGUUAAAAUUUAACGAUGUGAUUAAAAAAUUAAAAUUCCCACAAUUCUUUGAAAAAUUGGUGUCAAGGUUUCAAACUACUGUGGAUUCAUUUAUUUUUUGUGAGUACAAAUUUUUCAUGGUUGGAGGAAAACAUCGCAAACUUGUGGAUAGUGAAUUUCAUGAAUUUGGCAUUCUCUGCAUUAUCCACAUUACAGCUCAUAGAAAAUUUGUUGAACAUUUGAAUUUGUAGUUCACCUUUAAACACGAAACCCAUGAAAAUCAGUAUACAACAAAUAAAAAUGAAUCAACAGUGGCCUUGAGGAAUCACCUAGCUCUUUAUAGUAAACUUUCUGUUUCAAACUACAUCUCAAAACGUCAAAGAUACAAACAAGUAAAGAUUACUAUUUGAAUUUUAUCAAUGAGCAAACAUUUGUUUUACUGCUACAACCAUAACUGAAUCUGUGAGUUUUUAUCUAUACUGAAUCUGUGAGUUUUUAUCCUUAUUUAUCUUCAUUGCAAUCACAUCCUAUUUAAUGUAAAAUUUAUGAUUUUUAAAACACUAUUCCUGAAUUUUAAACAUUUUAUUAUUCACUUUUUAUUUGAUACCUUUAAAUAAUUUCAUUUUUUUUUUUCAUUUCAAAUAUUUCUUGUUUUUAUAAGAAUAACUUUUCCUCUUAAAUUUUAAUAAAUUUUGAUAUUUUGUCCUACAAUUGACCUUUGGUCACUUAUUUACCUUAUUGUUUUACCUGUUGUUCCUGUAUAAGUCGCACUUCACUGAACACAAAAUCUUAUCUAUCCAAUACACAAUUUUCUAAUUUCCAUGAAUAUUUUAUCCAUCUAUUGGAACUAAAAUCAAAUUAUUCUCUAAAUCCACAACGAAAUCUUAUAUUCCAAAAGUAUGUAAAAGGUACACCAUAGAAAUCCAAUAUCUGAUCCGUGUCAAAAUUCCAAUCUUUCACAAAAG